UACGUAGGGACCAAGCGUUGUUCGGAUUUACUGGGCGUAAAGGGCGCGUAGGCGGCAAAUUAAGUCAUCUGUGAAAUCUCCGAGCUUAACUCGGAACGGUCAGGUGAUACUGAUCUGCUAGAGUGCGGAAGGGGCAAUCGGAAUUCUUGGUGUAGCGGUGAAAUGCGUAGAUAUCAAGAGGAACACCUGAGGUGAAGACGGGUUGCUGGGCCGACACUGACGCUGACAGCGCGAAAGCCAGGGGAGCGAACGGG
rnacentral:rRNA from 1 species